rnacentral:rRNA from 1 species
UGCCAGCCGCCGCGGUAAUACGUAGGGCGCAAGCGUUGUCCGGAAUUAUUGGGCGUAAAGAGCUUGUAGGUGGCUUGUCGCGUCUGCCGUGAAAACCCGAGGCUCAACCUCGGGCGUGCGGUGGGUACGGGCAGGCUAGAGUGUGGUAGGGGAGACUGGAACUCCUGGUGUAGCGGUGAUAUGCGCAGAUAUCAGGAAGAACACCGAUGGCGAAGGCAGGUCUCUGGGCCAUUACUGACACUGAGAAGCGAAAGCAUGGGGAGCGAACAGGAUUAGAUA